UGAAAAUAUGAAGAUAAAAGAAUCUUUUAAAAAAUAAAACCUCUCAAACCUCGAUUUGAAAGGCUUUUAAAAACGCUAAUCCGUUCGGAACCUACAAAUUCGAACCUACAUUCUGAUUGGCUUAGGGCAAAAAUGUAAACAAAAGCGAAAUUCCCCCUUGUUGUUCCAAGUGGCUAAACGCUUCACAAAUCCAUCUUUUUGCCUAGCUUUGAAAGUUUAGUAAUAAACGUCGGACAUAUUAUACAAGUUUUAUGGGUAAAUAUCAGAAUUUUGCGCAUGUUGCUCGUUGGAACUAAUUGUUGAAGGGAUUUGUUUGGGACCUGACCUAACCUGAAGUUCAGGCCUGAACUUCAGGUUAGACCUGAGCAGGAGCAGUUACCAAAAGUGCAACUAUAGGCCCUAUAUGGCAGGAAUCGAACCUGCGGUUUUACACGAGCCUGCAGUGUUACACUUGAACUGAUGAACUUGUUAUUAUUAUUAGAGCUCGACAACUGGACUCAGUAACUCAGUUCAUUUGGUUAGAGCGCUGCACUGGAAUCGCAGGUUUGCUUCCUACCAGAGGCCUGGGCCUAUAGUUGCAUUUUUCACAACUGCUCCUGGUUAAGACUAAUAAGUUUAUAUAAAUUAUACUCGAAAUUUCCGUCCAUAAAUUCCUUCAAUAUUUUUCAAGUUAGUCUGCAGUAUGGACGUUAUUAACAG